rnacentral:rRNA from 1 species
AUGCGCUGGCGGCCGGCCUACACAUGCCAUUCCACCCGGCAGAAGAAAAAAGCUUGCUCUUUCCCGUGGCGAGUGGGAGACGGGUGAGUAAUGUCUGGGAAACUGCCCGAUGGAGGGUUAUCCCUACUGGAAACGGUAGCUAAUACCGCAUAACGUCGCAAGACCAAAGUGGGGGACCUUCGGGCCUCACACCAUCAGAUGUGCCCAGAUGGGAUUAGCUAGUAGGUGGGGUAACGGCUCACCUAGGCGACGAUCCCUAGCUGGUCUGAGAGGAUGACCAGCCACACUGGAACUGAGACACGGUCCAGACUCCUACGGGAGGCAGCAGUGGGGAAUAUUGCACAAUGGGCGCAAGCCUGAUGCACCCAUGCCGCGUGUAUGAAAAAGGCCUUCGGGUUGUAAAGUACUUUCCGCGGGGAGGAAGGCGAUGCGGUUAAUAACCGCGUCUAUUGACGUUACCCGCAAAAAAAGCACCGGCUAACUCCGUGCCAGCAGCCGCGGUAAUACAGGGGGUGCAAGCUUUAAUCGGAAUUACUGGGCGUAAAGCGCACGCGGGCGGUCUGUCAAGUCAGAUGUGAAAUCCCCGGGCUUAACCUGGAAACUGCAUUCGAAACU